GGUUAAGCGACUAAGCGUACACGGUGGAUGCCCUGGCAGUCAGAGGCGAUGAAGGACGUGCUAAUCUGCGAUAAGCGUCGGUAAGGUGAUAUGAACCGUUAUAACCGGCGAUUUCCGAAUGGGGAAACCCAGUGUGAUUCGUCACACUAUCGUUAACUGAAUACAUAGGUUAACGAAGCGAACCGGGGGAACUGAAACAUCUAAGUACCCCGAGGA
rnacentral:rRNA from 1 species